AGAGGACAUAUUGACAUGUCACAGUAGAAAACCCCAGGUGCAAUUGUUAAAAUUAAUGAUGGUUGAAUCCCAUUUGGCUGCUUCAGU